GAUGAAGACGCAGCGAAAUGCGAUAAGUAAUGUGAAUUGCAGAAUUCAGUGAAACAUCGAAUCUUUGAACGCACAUUGCGCCCGCCAGUAUUCUGGCGGGCAUGCCUGUUCGAGCGUCAUUUCAACCAUCAAGCCCCAGGCUUGUGUUGGGGACCUGCGGCUGCCGCAGGCCCUGAAAACCAGUGGCGGGCUCGCUGUCACACCGGGCGUAGUAGAUUUUAUCUCGCUCAGGGCGUGCUGCGGGUUCCGGCCGUUAAAAAGCCUUUUUCACGCAAGGUUGACCUCGGAUCAGGUAGGAAGACCCGCUGAACUUAAGCAUAUCAAUAAGCGGAGGA
rnacentral:misc_RNA from 1 species